GUAUGGAGUCCCAGCCACUGGACCACCAGCAAAGUCCCUGGAAUACGUUUGAAACGUCCUCUUUUAUUCACAAGGAGGUAUUGUGUAGUCUGCAUUUAUUUCACAAAGUUAUAAAGUGCAAGCUCAGUAUUUACUAAGUUCAUACUUCUUAUGUAAUAUGUUUUAUUUUUUUAUUCAAACGUUGCCGUGUUGUUACAGAGCAAGGACUCACUGCCCGGCUGCACAGGAGUUACUACUGCGACACCAGCCUUGAGAAGAGAAAGGUUUCCUGCCAGGUGGACUGGCGCGGAGACAGAAGGCUCUCGAAUCUGUCUCCUUGCCGGCUGACCCCACAAUAAAGUUCUUUCUUUUCUCAAAGGCUGGUGCCAUUACGUCGGCUUCAGUGCGUCCCAGGCAGCAAGCUGUUGCCCAGGAACAAUUUUGGCAGCCACAAAGGGAGUAAAGUCUUGUGACCACCUGCCCGAGGCACUGUAGCCCCCGGUGGGCAUGGGCCCUCACCACUGAUCCUGACCAGCCAACUCAGAUCGAAUUUGCCUGGACGGUGGGUGGUUGGGUUCCUGCUUCCCCAUCGUGGUGCUCCAGGUUUCUCAGAGCUACUUUGCUUUUGAAAAGAACAGCUCCUGGUUCAGCCUCAGGUGUCUGUGGGGAGGUGUCGGGCUUUCACCUAACCUAACACGAUCACCUCGCGGGAUUGAUACAGGGGGUUUGCUGUUUUGUACAGGGCGACAGAAGAUGAGAUGGUUGGAUGGCAUCACUAACGCAAUGGACAUGAACUUAGGCAAACUCCAGAUGGUGAUGGACAGGAAAGCCUGGCGUGCUGCAGUCCAUGGGGUCACAAAGACUCAGACACUACUUGGCGACUGAAUAACAACAAAACAGGAAACCCACUGAAUGGAAGCCGCCCAGAACCUAUAGAGAACUCCUAAAACUUAAUAACAAAAAUGAAAAGCCUGGUUAAAAAUGGGCAAAGGCCUUAAAUGUACAUUUCUCUGAAGAAAAUACAUGAACAUUUUCCCCUAGAUCUAUGAUGUAUUUAUCUGACCACAAUUCUUAUGCAGCAAAUCAAAUUAUCUCUAAUUCUUAAAAAAUCAGUGUUAAAAGAGAGAACACAGUUUUAAAAAAUCCAACUUGGCUUUUCAUUUAUGGAGGGAAAAAGUCUUCUAUUUACAAUAUAUGAUUUCUGAAAGAAUAAUAACAAAUAAUUUGAAACUAAACAGAAAAAUCAUAAAA